GACAGAGGAUGCAAGCGUUAUCCGGAAUCAUUGGGCGUAAAGCGCGUGUAGGCGGCCAGGUAAGUCCGUUCUGAAAGCCCGGGGCUCAACCCCGGGAGGCGGAUGGAUACUGCUUGGCUCGAGUCCGGAAGAGGCGAGUGGAAUUCCUAGUGUAGAGGUGAAAUUCGUAGAUAUUAGGAAGAACACCAGUGGCGAAGGCGGCUCACUGGCCCGGUACUGACGCUGAGGCGCGAAAGCGUGGGGAGCAAACAGG
rnacentral:rRNA from 1 species